UUAUUGCAUGGACCAUGGUCCACACAACUUGUGUGAACCAUGGUCCAAAACAACGCUGUCUCUCCACUUAAGGAGAGACGGCGCCGUUAGUUGCGCAUCUUUUUUUUUUUUUUUUUUUUUUUUUUUUUUAAUUUUAUCAAAAGCGCAGCGUUCUUCCUCAGUUCCUCUCGAACAGUUCGGAUGCCAUCUCCACCGCUCAAACAGUUCGCAACGCCAUCUCCACCGCUUCCUACUCCAUUGCUGUAGACGCGACGCCGAGACUCCAUUGCUACAGAAUACAAGAGUUUCUUGUACACUGAAGGGAGUGAUCAUCCAUCCAACUCCACCGCGAUGAGUCACAGCAAAAGAUGACUUCAAACAAGGAUACUAAGCAACUGAAGAGAAAGUAUCAAAGGAAGAGAGCUAGAGCAAUAGAUAAUCAACGAACAUCACAAGAGUAGCAGUAGCAUCUCGAGAAAAACAACCUUAACACUAGAAUGUCGCCUAUCGAAUUUCUACGGUUGAUGGAGAAACUAACAAAUGAGCAAAGAAAAGCGAUAGAAGAUAUUAGAUUUGGAUCACUACUACAGUAAAAAUUGUCAUGUUGGGAUACAGAAUUGUGUGCAUAUCUGGUGAACAGAUUUGAUAUAUAUGUGCAUGCCAUUUUCCUAAGAUCCUUGAGAGCAAAGUAUGCUCAUGCACAACAAUGCUGCCAAUCAAUGAGGAGAAAGAGGAAGUGCUGAAGAAAGCAAGAUAAAUAUAUGUUUCAAAAUGACAUUGAAUGUUCAAUAGAUUUGAGUAGGUUGCUAUAGCGGGUGAAAAAUUAAUUUUUGAUUUUGGUUCCUUGAUUUUUUUUAACAAGGUUGACAUGUGCAUUAUGAAGUGACAAAAUGAUGUAAAUUUUGCCAAAGUUUGAUAGGUUACUAUGUUUUAAAUUCAAAGCUUAA